GCAGCCGCGGUAAUACGUAGGGGGCAAGCGUUAUCCGGAUUUACUGGGUGUAAAGGGAGCGUAGACGGCAAGGCAAGUCUGAUGUGAAAGCCCGGGGCUCAACCCCGGGACUGCAUUGGAAACUGUUUAGCUAGAGUGCAGGAGAGGUAAGUGGAAUUCCUAGUGUAGCGGUGAAAUGCGUAGAUAUUAGGAGGAACACCAGUGGCGAAGGCGGCUUACUGGACUGUAACUGACGUUGAGGCUCGAAAGCGUGGGGAGCAAACAGGAUUAGAUACCCC
rnacentral:rRNA from 1 species